CUCUUCUUAUGGAGGAGCAGGGAAUUCAGCUAAAGAAUCUACCUGAUUCCCUAAACAAGCUGGUUGAAAAUUAAAACAAUCCAUGUCUACCGAGAGCUUACAAUUCAGCUGAUUGGCCCUUUAAUAAUGCGGAUCAAAGAGCAAUGAUGAUGUCAUGUAUGAGGCCACCAGAAUCACCAUUCUUCAGUUUGGAGCACUCAAGAGAGUGAAAGAUAAUUGCUGAUUAAUUGAUAUGGGUUACUGCAUUUUGCUUAAUUAGAGAACCUGAAUAUCCAUUAAUGCCUCACAUGAUACCACAAAUUUGUACUUGUUGGAUAAUGAUAACAAACAUAUUUUUUCUUCCAGUAAAUGAAAAUGGUAUCUAUAAAGAAUCAUUGUAUUAAGCACAGGUUCUGGUCCUGCAUAUUCUUCAAUUACAAAGAACUGGUUCCAGACCCAACUACGUUUGGACCGUGGAGGAGGGCCAGGCCCCUGAGGGGGAGAUGAUGAAGACCCAGCCUCUCCACUAAGACCAGGAGACAUGUCCUCCAAAACUGGCACAGUGGAGGAGCAGCCCAGAAGAAGCAGAGAGAGUAGAGGACACAAGUGAAGGGCAGGCAUUGGGAAGAUGCAAACCCGGUCGAAGAAUAAGUCCACUGGACAGAAGUCACAACAAACUGCAACUUCUUUGUUGUUUGGUGAAACCUUCCAUGUAGUUAAGAGGUGAAAUUUACAAUGCACCUCAAUCCAUGUGAUGUGAAACUGGCAGAGAAAAAAGGCAAGAGAGGAAGAAAAGGUUACAAUGUAGGACUAUUUGGCCUCCCCUUCAUCAUUAAAGCAUUUUCAGC